GGCAACGGUAUAGAAGUGACACACAGUGUAGCGCCUCAUUACCGAACCAGACAUGGGAGGCAUUGCACAGCUCUGCAUCGUACUGUACUGCUUGGCAGGUGUUUGGGCGGACAUUGUUUUGAAGCAGUCCGAUCCUGAGGUUAGAAAGCCAGGAGGUUCUGUGAAACUGUCCUGUCAAGGCUCCGGGCAAGACAGUGAUGGGGAUACUAUCACUGCUUAUGAGAUGAGCUGGAUUCGACAAGCUCCUGGAAAGGGUCUGGAAUGGGUGGCUGAGAUUAGCAGCAGUGGUGGUAGUUAUACAUACUAUGCCCAGUCUGUCCAGGGAAGAUUCACCAUCUCCAGAGACAAUUCCAACAGCAUGCUGUAUUUACAAAUGAACAGCCUGAAGACUGAAGACUCUGCCCUGUAUUACUGUGCUGUUGCACA